rnacentral:ncRNA from 2 species
ACCUUAUCCAGAGAGGUGGAGGGACUGGCCCUAUGAAACCCGGCAACCGGCACGAAGUGCGCGGUGCUAAAUCCUGCAGCUGCGAAUUGGCUGAAAGAUGAGUU